rnacentral:rRNA from 1 species
CCUACGGGAGGCAGCAGUAGGGAAUAUUGCUCAAUGGGGGAAACCCUGAAGCAGCAACGCCGCGUGGAGGAUGAAGGUUUUCGGAUUGUAAACUCCUUUUGUUAGAGAAGGUAAUGACGGUAUCUAACGAAUAAGCACCGGCUAACUCCGUGCCAGCAGCCGCGGUAAUACGGAGGGUGCAAGCGUUACUCGGAAUCACUGGGCGGAAAGAGCGCGUAGGCGGGAUAGCAAGUCAGAUGUGAAAUCCUAUGGCUUAACCAUAGAACUGCAUUUGAAACUGUUAUUCUAGAGUAUGGGAGAGGUAGGUGGAAUUCUUGGUGUAGGGGUAAAAUCCGUAGAGAUCAAGAAGAAUACUCAUUGCGAAGGCGACCUGCUAGAACAUAACUGACGCUGAUGCGCGAAAGCGUGGGGAGCAAACAGGAUUAGAUACCCUAGUAGUC